ACGCUCGACACCUACGGGAGGGCAGCAGUAGGGAAUCUUCCACAAUGGGCGCAAGCCUGAUGGAGCAACACCGCGUGAGUGAAGAAGGGUUUCGGCUCGUAAAGCUCUGUUGUUGGAGAAGAACGUGCGUGAGAGUAACUGUUCACGCAGUGACGGUAUCCAACCAGAAAGUCACGGCUAACUACGUGCUAGCAGCCGCGGUAAUCUGAGCGGGCUGGCAAGGC
rnacentral:rRNA from 1 species